CUUUUUAUCAGCCAUAGGUUAAUACAAGUGUUUAACAGAUGCUUCGCUAUUAAAAUAUUUCCCCCCAAUACUGAAGAAUCUCAAACCAGCAACCCUGACAGAGAUUGUGAAGGGUUUUCAAAGUGGGGCACCUCAAUUUCUCCAAUCUGUGGUGUGGCGAAUAUCCGUGUUCCUCUGGCUUAACUAGCCUGUUUGUUCCAGGUUGACUGAACCCUGCUCUACCCUACACCCCACACCAGGAUGGAGAGACAAUAACAAUAAUAACACCAUCACCACCACCAGCACUGAAAAUGCAGGGACAAAGAGUUGGGC